GCGAAUAAACAAGUGGAAACCAUGACCUGACUGUAUCUGUGCUGGAUGUGAGGGUGUAAGGAGGAGUAUAUAAGAGCAAGCUCACCACCACACUUUGACAGUCUAGAGGAUAUCGGUCAUCAUUAUGGUUUCGUUUUAUGUGACAGUUCUGGUGGUCAUUCAAGUCAUUGCUACUUCUGGUGGUCAAAGUGUGUCAGAUGAGAGAAAUCAGCAGAUAUGCCUGCCUGCUAGUGUUCUGGGAGUAUAACUGGAAGAGAUGGAAUAAAAGGAGAAAAGGGAGAGAGAGGAUUAGUUGGAGAGGUUGGCGAUAAAGGUAAUGCUGGGAAGAUGGGUCCACAUGGUUUGCCAGGUCCACAUGGUCCACAAGGGAUAGAGGAAAAACAGGAAGGAAAGGAGACAAAGGAGAAGCACGAGGGAAGAAAGGAGACAAAGGGGAAGGUAUGACACUCAACUGGAAACAGUGUGUGUGGAAUAGAGAAGAUGGGAAGGACAGCGGUCUGAUUCAGAACUGUAAUUUUAGGAAACAUGGCAGCAAUUCAGCUCUACAUGUUGCAUAUGCAGGAAAUCUAGAUAUUUACUGCUCCAGUGGUGCUUGCUGUUCUCGAUGGUAUUUUACAUUCAAUGGUAACGAGUGCAAUGGACCUAUGACUAUUGAGGGAGUUGUACGUGGUUUUCCAGAAACUGAUAAUUCUCACCGUCAUAGACAGAUUGAGGGAUACUGUGAGAAUUUUCCAGCAGGUCAAGUCACAGUGGCAUUUCAACAUUGGAAACUGUAGCAAAUGGAGCUCAACAACAUAUGAUGGCUACACAGGAUGGAAAUCAGUAUCUCGCAUUAUGAUUGCAGAAGUCCCUCCAUCACAAAGUAACUGAAUUGUGUUCAGUGUAGUUUGCAGUACGAGGUAGCUGAAGUAGCAGGCUGGAUGGUGCGCGUGCAUGUCUCUCUUUGCAAUAUGUGAUUGUACGUAUGAUUAAUUCAAUGUGUA